CAGUCGCCGCGGUAAUACGGAGGGUGCAAGCGUUAAUCGGAAUUACUGGGCGUAAAGCGCACGCAGGCGGUUUGUUAAGUCAGAUGUGAAAUCCCCGAGCUUAACUUGGGAACUGCAUUUGAAACUGGCAAGCUAGAGUCUUGUAGAGGGGGGUAGAAUUCCAGGUGUAGCGGUGAAAUGCGUAGAGAUCUGGAGGAAUACCGGUGGCGAAGGCGGCCCCCUGGACAAAGACUGACGCUCAGGUGCGAAAGCGCGGGGAGCAAACAGGAUUAGAUACCCCAGUAGUCCCUGUCUCUUAUAA
rnacentral:rRNA from 1 species